CAAACAACAGUUCCCGGCGGGUCCCAUUUACUAUUAUUGGGGCCGCCGGGACCCGUUAUGAAUAGCGGGAGAAAAAGAUGGCACAUACUGUCAUUUUUCUCUCACUAUUCUGCAGCGGCCGUCACACUGCCAGGCACCAACGGCAGUGUGAAAGGGGCCUGAGGAACAUGACUCAGGGGUCCUGAAUACACAAGAUAAAUCCCGUGUUUUGCCCCCAGGCCCUGCACCAGGUGUUUUUAUUGUUGCGGCCAAAAGAACUCCGUUUGGCACUUACGGCGGAGCGCUAAAAGACCACACUGCAACAGAUUUAGGGGAAAUAGCCGCAAGAGCUGCUCUGGCUGCUGGGAAUGUGGCUCCGGACACCGUGGACAGUGUUGUAUUCGGCAAUGUGGUUCAGACAGCCACCAACGCCAUAUACCUGACCCGACAUGUCGCCCUCCGCUCAGGAAUCCCUGUACCUGUCCCAGCUCUGACGGUCAACAGGCUUUGUGGUUCUGGUUUCCAGUCCAUUAUCAAUGG